CAGCAGAUGGCGAUGAGCGUCUUUCAGGUGACUCUUCUUGCGUGACGUAUAAUGGACUGGACGGACGCUUCUUCAGGAACAACAAGGCGCCAACUCUUUCAACCACGUCGGUAGCUUGCUAGCCAACAUACGUUUUAGACCAUGUUAAUGUACAUUAGCUAAUCUCAGUGUUUUAAACAAGUUUCGCUUGACGUAUCAACUGGUUCAAUUUGCAAACGUGUUAAAGAUUGAUACUGAGCCUAGCACGAGGCUAGAUGCUAAUGCUAGCUAGCUAGCUAACAUCCCUGACCAUGAGCUCACUAAACUACUCCUCCCUUGCUAAUGAAGAGGGGGUCUGCUGUUUGGAGAAAGAAUCUUUCAGAAUGAAAAAGGAGGAAGAGGAGGCUGUUAUAGUGAAAGAAGAGAAAGAACCGUUUAGAGAGGAAGAUGAUGCUAUCUCAAUAAAGGUGAAGGAGGAAGACGUUUUGGGAGUGAAAGAGGAAGAGACAGAAUAUCAGAUUACCACCAGAGAGACACAUGACUAUCGUGGAUCCUCUGGGGAGCCUCAACAACAUCCUGAUGCUGACGAGGAAGAGAAGAGUCUCUCCAGACCAGAACACCAGAUGGUACAGCUUGGUCUCGUCUAGCAUACAGCUUUCUCUAUCGGGCUCUGGGCUGGGUUUCUGUAGAGCACUUUAUGUCAACAGUGGCAUCAGCAUCCAUAAUGAUGUGUCUGUGUCCCCUCUUUAUGGUUACCAGGACAACACUAGCCCUUCCUCCCUCCCGGAGUCACCUUGUCGUGGCUCUCCCGGUAGCACCUUACUGCUGGGUAUGAAGAGGUCUGUGCUGCUGGUGGACUGCAGGAAAACAACGGGGAUGAGUGGAACUGUGGGAGGAGGAGAAGAGAGGAACGGAUCAGAUUUGACUCAAAGAGAAAGACCAGACUCAGAGGAACCAGAGCCAGGGACGUCCAAACCAGCAAGGCGACACAGGUGCUCCCACUGUGGAAAGAGUUGUAACCAGAAAGCCACCUGAAAGCUCAUGAGAGAAUACACACAGGGGAGAAGCCUUACCACUGCUCCCAGUGUGGAAAGCGUUUCAACCAAAAAGCCACCCCUGAAACAACACGAGAGAAUACACACAGGAGAGAAGCCUUAUCACUGCUCCCAGUGUGGAAAGAGUUUUAACAAUUUAGGGAACCUGAAACAACAUAAGAGAAUACACACAGGGGAGAAGCUUACCACUGCUCCCAGUGUGGAAAGUGUUUCAACCAGUCAAGGGAGCUGAAACAACACGAGAGAAUACACACACACAGGGAGAAGCCUUACCACUGCUCCCAGUGUGGAAAGUGUUUCGACACAAGUCAAGGGAGCUGAAACAACACGAGGGAAUUCACACAGGGGAAAAGCCCUACCACUGCUCCCAGUGUGGAAAGAGUUUUAACCAUUUAGGGAACUUGAAACAACAUGAGAGAAUACAACAGGGGAAAGCCUUACCACUGCGCCACUGUGUGUGGACAGCGUUUCAACCAAAAAGCAACCCUGAAACAACACGGAGAAUACACACAGGAGAGAAGCCUUAUCACUGCUCCCAGUGUGGAAAGAGUUUUAAACAAUUUAGGGAACCUGAAACAACAUGAGAGAAUACACACAGGGGAGAAGGCGCUACCCAUGCUCCCAGUGUGGAACGUGUUUCAACCAGUCAAGGGAGCUGAACCAACACGAGAGAAUACACACAGAGGGAAGAAGCCUUACCACUGCUCCCAGUGUGGAAAGUGUUUCAACCAGUCAAGGGAGCUGAAACAACACGAGAGAUACACACAGGGGAGAUCUUACCUUUACCACUGCUCCCAGUGGAAGAGUUUCAACAAUUUAGGAACCUGAAACAACUGAGAGAAUACACACAGGGGAGAAGCCUUACCAAUGCUCCCAGUGUGGAAAGCGUUUUAACAAUUUAGGGAACCUGAAACAACAUGAGAGAAUACACUCAGGGGAGAAGCCUUAUCACUGCUCCCAGUGUGGAAAGAGUUUUAACAUUUAGGGAACCUGAAACAACAUGAGAGAAUACACACAGGGGAGAAGCCUUUCCACUGCUCCCGGUGUGGAACGUGUUUCAAAUGGUCAGGGGAGCUGAAACAACAUGAGAAUACACACAGGAGAAGCCUUAACCACUGCUCCCAGUGUGAAAGAGUUUUUAACAAUUUAGGGAACCUGAAACAACAUGAGAGAAUACACUCAGGGGAGAAGCCUUAUCACUGCUCCCAGUGUGGAAAGAGUUUUAACAAUUUAGGGCACCUGAAACAACAUGAGAGAAUACACACAGGGGAGAAGCCUUACCACUGCUCCCAGUGUGGAAAGUGUUUUAAACAGAAACAAAAACAACACCUGAACCACAUGGGAAAUACACACAGGGGAGAAGCCUUAACACUGCUCCAGUGUGGAAAGGGUUGUAACCAGUUAAGGGACCUGAAAACACAUGAGAGAAUACACAUAGGGGAGAUGUCCUACCAUUGCAAUGUUAGUGAUUCUGAAAAUACUUGAGAGAAUACAUACAGGAGAAAAGCUGUACCACUGUUACCAGUGUGGAAAGAGUUUUUCCCACUUAUGUCAACUGAAAAC
rnacentral:lncRNA from 1 species